rnacentral:lncRNA from 1 species
CCGGGCUGAGGCGAUGGGGUUUGCAGCGCUGCAAGCAGGAGAUGAAGGCAGCCGUGGUGUUGGAAGGUGAGCAGACACGGACGGCUUUGGCAGCCCAUCGUCCGCAGACAGCUCUUGGCCAAGCCAGCAGCGCUGAACUGCAGCUUCCCGGCUGUCCCGGCGCGGCUGAGCCACCCUGCCCGAGGAGCGGAGCUCUCUGCUGCUCUGCUUCUGCCGUCUGCGUAGCCCGAUGAGGACUUGCUGAGGACCUCCUUCCCACAGGGAUCAAGGCUGGAGCAACGCUUUGGCAAGAUGUCCUCAAAGCAGUUCAGCAGGAGGGGGCCCCGGGCCUUUCCCUGGGGGCCCUAUCCGCGUCAGGCUGGGCCACCACCUUCACGUGCUCAUGGCCCCUGGGAUGCCUGGUGUGAUCCUCCAUGGGAGCAGCAGCACUGGAGAGCCAGGAGAAGAAUGCAUCUGCCCGGUCCCAGGCAGCCCCGGCCUUUCCCUGGCCCUGCUGACAUCCUCCAGAAUGAGGAGAAUUGGAGAUGGGUCCCCCAGAACCAUGAUGUGCCACCACCUCACUGGAUGUAUAGAGAGGACCACCAGAGCCAUGAGAUACCACAGCUGCAUCACCGGGACUUCUUUGCCCAGCCUGAGUUCCCCAGCCAGGAGCAGCGUCCUGCUGGAUUCCCAUGGGAGCAAGAAGUCUCCUGGGACAACUGCUCACCCCAGCGCCAUUGUGGCCCACGCCGGAGACACUGCCGACUCCUUCGGCCCAUCCAGCAGGAGACAGCAGACCGCAGCCGUUCUCCCAGCAGCUCCCAAGGUUGGUCCUGCUGCAGCGCUGGCUGCCGCCCAGGACCCCUGUGUGGUGUGUGCAGCCAGCAGCGUCUGCAUGGGGAGGGUUGGCACUUUGUGUAUUAAGUGCCGUUGUGUUUCCGCAGGGUGCCAUCCAUCCUCCAAGCCCUCUCAGUCCUGCUCCCUGGAGAGCCAGCCGGGGCUCAGAGAGCAGCUCGCUGCUCCCCAGUCACCUGCUGCCUGCAAGAACAGUCUGCAAAGCGAGCAGCAGGUGGAUGAGGGCUGGCUGGUGGCAAGCAGCGAGGCGCUGGAACGGCCCGGGCAUGCAGAGAAGAGCCCAGAGAAGAGCCCGGGCACUGACCCCCAGGCAGCGGAGCAGGAGCCAGCGGCAGGAUCAAAGCCAGUACGUGUGCACCUCUUUCCCGAGUGCAUACUGAGAGACUUUCACCCAGGAGCUGCCCAGCUCAGGGGAUCCCUUCCACCUGUGUCACACCUCACUUCUCUCUUGCACUCUUCACCUCGGUAUCUCUUGGACAGAAAUGGAAGCAGGAUGUUUUCCUGA